rnacentral:rRNA from 1 species
UACGUAGGGCGCAAGCGUUGUCCGGAAUCACUGGGCGUAAAGGGCGCGUAGGCGGCUUGAUAAGCGUGCGGUGAAAGCCCGGGGCUCAACCCCGGGUCGGCCGUGCGAACUGUCGAGCUGGAGCACUGUAGAGGCAGGUGGAAUUCCGGGUGUAGCGGUGGAAUGCGUAGAGAUCCGGAAGAACACCGGUGGCGAAGGCGGCCUGCUGGGCAGUGGCUGACGCUGAGGCGCGACAGCGUGGGGAGCAAACAGG